UACGGGGGGUGCAAGCGUUAUCCGGAUUCACUGGGUUUAAAGGGUGCGUAGGCGGGCAGGUAAGUCAGUGGUGAAAUCCCCGAGCUUAACUUGGAAACUGCCGUUGAUACUAUCUGUCUUGAAUACUAUGGAGGUAAGCGGAAUAUGUCAUGUAGCGGUGAAAUGCUUAGAUAUGACAUAGAACACCAAUUGCGAAGGCGGCUUGCUACACAGUUAUUGACGCUGAGGCACGAAAGCGUGGGGAUCAAACAGG
rnacentral:rRNA from 1 species